rnacentral:rRNA from 1 species
UGACGAAAGGACUGGCGGUAUGGGAUGGGGAUGCGUCUGAUUAGCUUGUUGGCGGGGUAACGGCCCACCAAGGCGACGAUCAGUAGGGGUUCUGAGAGGAAGGUCCCCCACAUUGGAACUGAGACACGGUCCAAACUCCUACGGGAGGCAGCAGUGAGGAAUAUUGGUCAAUGGGCGCAAGCCUGAACCAGCCAAGUAGCGUGAGGGAAGACUGCCCUACGGGUUGUAAACCUCUUUUGUUUGGGAAUAAAGUGCGGGACGCGUCCCGCAUUGCAUGUACCAUUUGAAUAAGGACCGGCUAAUUCCGUGCCAGCAGCCGCGGUAAUACGGAAGGUCCGGGCGUUAUCCGGAUUUAUUGGGUUUAAAGGGAGCGCAGGCCGUGGGUUAAGCGUGUCGUGAAAUUCCGUCGCUCAACGGCGGACGUGCGGCGCGAACUGGUCCACUUGAGUGCGCGGGACGUUGGCGGAAUUCGUGGUGUAGCGGUGAAAUGCUUAGAUAUCACGAAGAACUCCGAUUGCGAAGGCAGCUGACGGUAGCGCAACUGACGCUGAGGCUCGAAAGUGCGGGUAUCGAACAGGAUUAGAUACCCUGGUAGUCCGCACGGUAAACGAUGGAUGCCCGCUAUUCGCCCACCUGGGCGAGUGGCCAAGCGAAAGCGUUAAGCAUCCCACCUGGGGAGUACGCCGGCAACGGUGAAACUCAAAGGAAUUGACGGGGGCCCGCACAAGCGGAGGAACAUGUGGUUUAAUUCGAUGAUACGCGAGGAACCUUACCCGGGCUUGAAUUGCAGAGGAAGGAUUUAGAGAUAAUGACGCCCUUCGGGGCCUCUGUGAAGGUGCUGCAUGGUUGUCGUCAGCUCGUGCCGUGAGGUGUCGGCUUAAGUGCCAUAACGAGCGCAACCCCUCUCCGUAGUUGCCAUCGGGUGAUGCCGGGCACUCUGCGGACACUGCCACCGUAAGGUGUGAGGAAGGUGGGGAUGACGUCAAAUCAGCACGGCCCUUACGUCCGGGGCUACACACGUGUUACAAUGGGGCAUACAGAGCGCCGGCGGCCGGCAACGUCCGUCCAAUCGCAAAAGUGUCCCCCAGUUCGGACUGGGGUCUGCAACCCGACCCCACGAAGCUGGAUUCGCUAGUAAUCGCGCAUCAGCCAUGGCGCGGUGAAUACGUUCCCGGGCCUUGUACACACCGCCCGUCAAGCCAUGAAAGC